rnacentral:rRNA from 1 species
UAACACAUGCAAGUCGAACGAAGCUUGGGGAACGGAGGUCGUCGAAGAGACCAAGACUAGUGGCGGACGGGUGAGUAAUGUAUGAGCAACCUGCCUUUCAGAGGGGGACAACAGUUGGAAACGACUGCUAAUACCGCGUAACGUAUGAUGGGGGCAUCCCUGACAUACCAAAGGAGCAAUCCGCUGAAAGAUGGGCUCAUAUCUGAUUAGCUUGUUGGCGGGGUAACGGCCCACCAAGGCGACGAUCAGUAGCCGGACUGAGAGGUUGAACGGCCACAUUGGGACUGAGAUACGGCCCAGACUCCUACGGGAGGCAGCAGUGGGGAAUAUUGGGCAAUGGGCGAAAGCCUCGACCCAGCAACGCCGCGUGAAGGAAGAAGGUCUUCGGAUUGUAAACUUCUUUUAUGAGGGACGAAGGACGUGACGGUACCUCAUGAAUAAGCCACGGCUAACUACGUGCCAGCCGCCGC